rnacentral:rRNA from 1 species
CAUUAUUGAAUUAGACUGAGGGGGGGGGGAAGACGGACUGCCAGAGAUUGUUGCUGGCAUGGAUGCAUGUGCACGUCUUUGCUUUCUGUCGACCCCUUUCUCUUUUGUCCACACACCUGUGCACUUUCUGUAGGUCCUCGAAAAGGGGAUCUAUGUUUUUUACACACACUACGUACACAAUGUUGUAUAUAUUGUAUGGCUGGAGGAUUAAUGUGAAAACAUGCAUGUCGUUAUACAACUUUCAGCAACGGAUCUCUUGGCUCUCGCAUCGAUGAANAACGCAGCGAAUUGCGAUAAGUAAUGUGAAUUGCANAUUUCCAGUGAAUCAUCGAAUCUUUGAACGCACCUUGCGCUCCUUGGUAUUCCGAGGAGCAUGCCUGUUUGAGUGUCAUUGAAUUAUCAACCAUGUCUUUGUUGACGUGGCUUGGAGUUUGGGAGGUUGCUGGCUUGUCAGCUCUUCUGAAAUGUAUUGGCAGAUGGUCGCUUGGUCCUUGACGUGCACGGCCUCGGACGUGAUAAUGAUCGUCGUCGCUGGAGUGUCUUGGAACACGCAGGAAUGGCCUGUUGCCUUUAAUCUAAAUAUAUGCUUUAGCUACUAGCUUUCGUCGCAAGACGCGGGCGAAUGCACGGCAUGUAGAUCUUGGAAACUUGACCUUGACCUCGAAUCAGGUAGGACUACCCGCUGAACUUAAGCAUAUCAAUAAGCGGAGGA